CUCACUCAGUGUGCAGCCUAGCUUGUUCAU
rnacentral:piRNA from 1 species